GAUGAAGAACGUAGCGAAAUGCGAUACGUAAUGUGAAUUGCAGAAUUCAGUGAAUCAUCGAGUCUUUGAACGCACAUUGCGCCCCCUGGUAUUCCGGGGGGCAUGCCUGUCCGAGCGUCAUUGCUGCCCUCAAGCACGGCUUGUGUGUUGGGCCUCCGUCCUCCUCCCGGGGGACGGGCCCGAAAGGCAGCGGCGGCACCGCGUGCGGUCCUCGAGCGUAUGGGGCUUCGUCACCCGCUCUUGUAGGCCCGGCCGGCGCUUGCCGACACAUCAAUCUUUUUUCCAGGUUGACCUCGGAUCAGGUAGGGAUACCCGCUGAACUUAAGCAUAUCAAUAAGCGGAGGA
rnacentral:misc_RNA from 1 species